ensembl:ncRNA lncRNA:CR45203 long non-coding RNA:CR45203
AAGAUAUGGCAGACACAUCAAAUCGGACAGGGACAUAGGCAGCGGCUGCUUUUGUGUCGCUUUCCUACUGACAACGACAGGUGGUCGUUGGCCCAAAACACAUUCAUACGCUCACAUAUUCAUACAUUCGUACAUUCAUAAAUGCCGCCGCGAUAAAGCGCAGCAGUACCAGAAGUAGCGGCUGCCUACACGGCGUAUGCGUGUUACGCCUCGAAAGGAUGAGAGAUGAGAUGAUCGCACAGGUUUCGCCGCAUAAUCUGGCUCUCGUAUGGGAGCGAGAGUGGAACCUAUGUACAACAGCAACAAGCCGGCAGAAACGAUCGCAGGCAGCCGCUGAACAAUAGAUGAAACGUGGACGAUUGUGCCAAAGUACGAAUGUGUCCCUUCCCGUUUUGGUGAAAUGCAUUGGUGCACAGCGAAAAACAUCAAAAGUGAACUGACAGAACUCAUUACCUAAUUCCACUUCCAAAGAAACCAAUUUAAAGCGGAACAGGUGCAAGAAUGGCAUGUUUGAUUUUAUAUAUUGUGCGACUCCGAGGAACAUGAAUAAGAUCAUAACUUUUAAACUGAAAAUCUUACAAAGCUAAUAAAGAUGAGUACCUUUCAUAUGUA